rnacentral:rRNA from 1 species
GACAGAGGGUGCAAACGUUGCUCGGAAUCACUGGGCGUAAAGGGCGUGUAGGCGGGAAGGAAAGUCAGAUGUGAAAUCCCUGGGCUCAACCCAGGAACUGCAUUUGAAACUCCCUUUCUUGAGUACCGGAGAGGAAGGUGGAAUUCCUGGUGUAGAGGUGGAAAUUCGUAGAUAUCAGGAGGAACACCGGUGGCGAAGGCGGCCUCUGGACGGUAACUGACGCCUGAGACGCGGAAAGCGUGGGGAG